GUAGCUCAAUGGUAGAGCAGGAGCUUCCCAAGCUUAAGACGAGGGUUCGAUUCCCUUC
rnacentral:tRNA from 1 species